rnacentral:rRNA from 1 species
UACGGAGGGUGCAAGCGUUAUCCGGAUUCACUGGGUUUAAAGGGUGCGUAGGUGGGCAGUUAAGUCAGUGGUGAAAUCUCCGGGCUCAACCCGGAAACUGCCAUUGAUACUAUCUGUCUUGAAUAUCGUGGAGGUAAGCGGAAUAUGUCAUGUAGCGGUGAAAUGCUUAGAUAUGACAUAGAACACCAAUUGCGAAGGCAGCUUACUACCCGAAUAUUGACACUGAUGCACGAAAGCGUGGGGAUCGAACAGG